UGAACGUUGGCGGCGUGGAUUAGGCAUGCAAGUCGAACGCCCCGCAAGGGGAGUGGCGCAAGGGUGAGUAAGGCGACGGUAACCAACCCCGAGAUUGGGUAUAGCCGAGGGAAACUUCGGGUAAUCCCCAGCGAUGUGUUUGAGUGGCAUCACUCGAACACCAAAGCUCCGGCGUCUUGGGACGGGGCCGUCGUGGUAUUAGGUUGUUGGCGGGGUAACGGCCCACCAAGCCUUCGAUGCCUACCGGGCGUGCGAGCGUGGCCCGGCACACUGGGGACUGAGACACUGCCCAGACUCCUACGGGAGGCUGCAGUCGAGAAUCUUCGGCAAUGGGCGCAAGCCUGACCGAGCGACGCCGCGUGGAGGAUGAAGGCCUCGGGUUGUAAACUCCUGUCGAGGGGGAGGAAGCCGCAAGGUUGACCGAUCCCUGGAGGAAGGACGGGGCUAAGG
rnacentral:rRNA from 1 species